UCUAGACUAAUUCUGAUUCGAAUUGAGUAAGCCAAUUGAUUUUUGUGUGUAGCGCGUGGGCCUAUAUCUUCUGAACGAUUAUAGUACGGCCACUUAUCUAAUAUAAAAUCAAUGAGUAGAUCUAACCUCCCCUUCCCCAUAACAUAGUCGGAAGGGAUAGUGUGUCCAUAUAUAUAUAUAAGAGAGAGCAUGGAACCUUACCCAACAUUUAGUUUAGACGCGGCUCAAAUUAUGUUAAGGAGUGAAAUGCUUUCUACUACGAAAUUUUCUGUUGCCAAAGCUCAAACUAGAAUUUCUAAUUAAAAGUAGAGAAAUUCCUACUAUCCCAUCAAAUCCUGUGGUACGAUGAUGUUUGUGCACUACUAAGGUAAAAUAUUUGAGCGAGAAUUUCCACUUUUGUCCUUGAUAAAUAUUUUUUUUUACGUAUACAAAGUUUUUUUAGUUUUAUGUCAAAUUUUCUAAGAAAUAUUUAUUUUUAUCCGUAAGAGAUCUUAAUUUAUAGUCAUUUUUUUCUAUUUAAAUUGUAAAAUGUUAUGUUGAACCAUUUUUUUUAAUUCUAAGAGCUCUAGACUAUAACAUCAUAUUGCCUUUUUGUUCAUCUUCUAAUUAAUAUUUGUGUAUUUGUCUUUGACAAGAUUUAAAGGAAAUUGGCUCACACAAUUAAACGAAAGAGCUGCUUACCAAAACUUGCACCUGUGGUAGCUGGAAUAUCAGUGACCAACCUGUCGAGGGUUCAUUAGCAAAAAUCAGAUAAUUAGUGAUUAUACGUACAUAUGGGCCAUUUGAAUUAACAAGAAAAAAAAACACGAAAUAUAUGGGAAUUUCUUUUCUUCACAGAAGAGUUUAAUAAUUUGUAAAAUUGUAGUAGAAAUAUUUAAUUACUUUCAGUUCAUAUCAAAGCUCAAAUCAAAGGAGUUCACUCUAAAAUCUUCUGCAGGGACAGAAUAAAAUCAGACGAUCUUUUUAGUAGUGAAGAUGACAAAAUGGAAAUGAUUAAUCAAUGGCGUUAACCACUGGAUACUUUUGUCAACCUCAGAGAAAGAAAUCGACUGGUCUGUACCUCCUUGGGAAAGC
rnacentral:lncRNA from 1 species